UCGACCGGGACGAAGGGUGACUGACGGUACCGGUAGAAGAAGCACCGGCCAACUACGUGCCAGCAGCCGCGGUAAUACGUAGGGUGCGAGCGUUGUCCGGAAUUAUUGGGCGUAAAGAGCUCGUAGGCGGUGUGUCGCGUCGGUCGUGAAAACUUGGGGCUUAACCCUGAGCGUGCGGUCGAUACGGGCAUCACUUGAGUUCGGCAGGGGAGACUGGAAUUCCUGGUGUAGCGGUGAAAUGCGCAGAUAUCAGGAGGAACACCGGUGGCGAAGGCGGGUCUCUGGGCCGAUACUGACGCUGAGGAGCGAAAGCGUGGGGAGCGAACAGGAUUAGAUACCCUGGUAGUCCACGCCGUAAACGGUGGGCGCUAGGUGUGGGGGCCAUUCCACGGUCUCUGUGCCGCAGCUAACGCAUUAAGCGCCCCGCCUGGGGAGUACGGCCGCAAGGCUAAAACUCAAAGGAAUUGACGGGGGCCCGCACAAGCGGCGGAGCAUGUGGAUUAAUUCGAUGCAACGCGAAGAACCUUACCUGGGUUUGACAUGCACUAGACGCGUCUAGAGAUAGGCGUUCCCUUGUGGCUGGUGUGCAGGUGGUGCAUGGCUGUCGUCAGCUCGUGUCG
rnacentral:rRNA from 1 species